rnacentral:rRNA from 1 species
ACGAAGGGUGCAAGCGUUACUCGGAAUUACUGGGCGUAAAGCGUGCGUAGGUGGUUUGUUAAGUCUGAUGUGAAAGCCCUGGGCUCAACCUGGGAACGGCAUUGGAUACUGGCUUACUAGAGUGCGGUAGAGGGUAGUGGAAUUCCCGGUGUAGCAGUGAAAUGCGUAGAUAUCGGAAGGAACAUCAGUGGCGAAAGCGGCUUCCUGGACCAGCACCGACGUUCAGGCACGAAAGCGUGGGGAGCAAACAGGA